UACGUAGGGGGCAAGCGUUGUCCGGAAUCAUUGGGCGUAAAGAGCGUGUAGGCGGCCCGAUAAGUCCGCCGUGAAAGUCCAGGGCUCAACCCUGGAAUGCCGGUGGAAACUGUCGGGCUGGAGUCCGGAAGAGGCGAGUGGAAUUCCUGGUGUAGCGGUGAAAUGUGUAGAGAUCAGGAGGAACACCGGUGGCGCAGGCGGCCCGCUGGACGGAGACUGACGCUGAGGCGCGAAAGCGUGGGGAGCAAACGGG
rnacentral:rRNA from 1 species